GACAAUAUGUCCGAGUGGUUAAGGAGUUAGACUUGAAAUCUAAUGGGUACAACCCGCGUAGGUUCAAUUCCUACUGUUGUCG